rnacentral:rRNA from 1 species
GCUUUAGACCUCAAAUCAGGCAGGACUACCCGCUGAAUUAAGCAUAUCA